CUAUGGGUCUCUUUGGGGUUUCUGUGGGUCUCUAUGAGGCACGCUGUGGGUCUCUAUGGGUCGCUGUGGGGCACGCUGUGGGGCACGCUGUGGAUCUCUGUGGGUCUCUUUGGGGUCUCUGUGGGUCUCUGUGGGUUGCUAUGGGUCGCUAUGGGGCACUGUGUGGGUCUCUAUGGGUCUCCAUGGGUUUCUUUGGGCGCUGUGGGGCACGCUAUGGGGCAUGCUACGGGUCGCUGUGGGGCACGCUAUGGGUCUCUUUGGGGGUCUCUGUGGGUCUCUGUGGGUCUCUAUGGGGCACGCUAUGGGGCACUGUCGGUCUCUGUGGGUCCCUAUGGGUCGCUGUGGGGCACGCUGUGGGGCACUCAGGGGCACUCAGGGGCCUGCUGUGGGUCGCUGUGGGUCGCUAUGGGGCACACUGUGGGUCUCUAUGGGUCUAUGGGGUUUCUGUGGGUCUCUAUGGGUUGCUAUGGGGCACGCUAUGGGUCUCUAUGGGUCGCUAUGGGGCCCGCUGUGGGGCACGCUAUGGGUCUUUAUGGGUCUCUGUGGGGCACACUGUGGGUGUCUAUGGGGCACGCUAUGGGUCUCUGAGUCUCUGUGGGUCUCUAUGGGGUUUCUAUGGGUCUCUAUGGGGCACGCUGGGGGUUUCUGUGGGUCUCUAUGGGUCGCUAUGGGGCACGCUAUGGGUCCCUAUGGGUCUCUAUGGGUCGCUAUGGGUCGCUAUGGGGCACGCUGUGGGGCAUGCCGUGGGUCUCUCUGGGUCUCUAUGGGGCACGCUGUGGGUCUCUCUGGGUCUCUGUGGUUUCUAUGGGUCUCUAUGGGUCGCUAUGGGGCACGCUAUGGGGCACGCUGUGGGGCACGCUAUGGGUCUCUGUGGGUCUCUGGGGUUUCUGUGGGUCGCUAUGGGUCUCUAUGGGGCACGCUGUGGGUCCCUAUGGGUCUCUAUGGGGCGCUGUGGGGC
rnacentral:lncRNA from 1 species